rnacentral:rRNA from 1 species
UACGUAGGGUGCAAGCGUUAAUCGGAAUUACUGGGCGUAAAGCGUGCGCAGGCGGUUGUGCAAGACCGAUGUGAAAUCCCCGGGCUCAACCUGGGGAAUGGCAUUGGUGACUGUACGGCUAGAGUGUGUCAGAGGGGGGUAGAAUUCCACGUGUAGCAGUGAAAUGCGUAGAGAUGUGGAGGAAUACCGAUGGCGAAGGCAGCCCCCUGGGAUAACACUGACGCUCAUGCACGAAAGCGUGGGGAGCAAACAGG